CUUGUUUUUUAAGGGAGAUAUAAUCGAAUUGGAACUAGGUUAGAAAUAAAUACCUAAGUGAAAUGAGUAAUGAGGGAAUUUCGUAAAUAAAUAUGUUGUGAUGUUUCAUAAUAACACCAUAUGAAUUCAAUGAUUAGGUGAAUAAGCAAGAAUUCUACAUAUUACCCGAUUUAUUACCCCAUUUGUGAACCUAAAAACUGAAGAUGAAAUAUGCAAAAUAUGAACUAUAGUUCGAUGAUAUGAUUCCAGAAUGAACAUAAAUGAAGCAUACAGGUUUCAAUACUCUCGUACGAGUUAGAAAAUUUUGUUUUCAACAAGGAAUUGAUAUGGACUAUCAUUUCAUAAACUGAUGGAAGAGGAAAAAUUCCAUUAUCCUGAAAGCAGACAGAGAGCAAUUUUUGGAUGAACAACUAAGCUGCUAGAGAAGGAGAUAGAAACAGGAAUUUUAUUGUUGCAUCUUAAACUAAAUUUAGCCUUUUGUACUACAUCAUAAUAUUUUCUUCGAUUUCAUAUUUAUAUUUUGAGAAUGUAUUUUUAUGUUAAAAAUAAAAUUUUGAAAUAUU